GACAGAGGCCUCGAGCGUUAGGCGGAAUCACUGGGCUUAAAGCGUGUGUAGGCGGGCCCGUAAGUGUCUUGUGAAAUCCCACGGCUCAACCGUGGAACUGCUGGGCAUACUGCGGGUCUUGGGCCAACUAGGGGCAGCCGGAACAAGCGGUGGAGCGGUGAAAUGCGUAGAUAUCGCUUGGAACGCCGAAGGUGAAAACGAGGCUGACCUGGGG
rnacentral:rRNA from 1 species